rnacentral:snRNA from 1 species
AUACUUACCUGGACGGGGUCAAUGGGCGAUCAAGAAGGCCCAUGGCCUAGACUGGUGAUUUCUAUUGCACUUUGAAGGGAUGCUAGCCUAAGGUCGGUCCAAGUGGUCGAGUCAUGAUUUGUGAGUAUUAAUGCUGAACUUUAG